UAACUUUUUACCAUAGAUGUU
rnacentral:piRNA from 1 species